rnacentral:lncRNA from 1 species
UCUGGUUUUGUUUUCAAAAUUGUUGAAGUUCUAUUUUCUAUUUGGUUUGGUUCUAUUUUUUAGUCAUGAAGUUAAGUAGUAUCGUGGGAUAUUUGAAGUUCUUGGGUACUCAAAAUUCAAGAAGUUUUAGAAGGAAAACAAGUUUUAAACUCUGGUCAUCUUAUUUUGGCUGGAAAAAUAGAGGAAAGUUCUAAGCAUACCAUCACAAUAUUAAAUGGUUUAUUCCUUCAGUAAGGUCCAAUCCCCACGAAAUUAAAGGAACCCUAUCUUUCACAAAUGGCAUGAGCAUUAGCCAAAUGGUAUGUUCUUGUAAAGCAGAAAAUAGUGGAAAAUGUAAACAUGUCUCUACUCUUGUUAAAUGUAAGUAUAAGUGAAAAUGUGAAAUUAAUGGAACAUUCAGUACAUGAGUUGAAAAAAAUGUUAACAGAUUGGCAAAUGAAGACCAUUUUUAAUUGAUCGAAACAUUUAUAGAAACAAAGUAUAUGGUUAAUAUAAAAUAUUACCUGCCUGAAGUAACUUGAUGUACAAAUCAAUAGUAACCAUAUUUUUUUCCCAGGGCCAGUGAGAAACAAUGUGCAUUUAAUUUCUAAGUGUUCUAAGGAAAGAUCUCAUAAGAAUAAAUAGAUCUGUACAAUGAAGAUUAACCUAAUCUGUUUAACCAUCGAAAUUAUUGUAUUGUUAUAAAAAUAAUCUCCAUUUCAUAUUAUUUACACUUACAAACAUUAGCCUGGAAUUUCAUUGUGUCUACAUUAGUGUCCAUAGUCCCAAACCUACCCUAGUCAACAGAGGUACUGUCUUUCGCAGAUGUGGUAAUGCCGGGUUUGAUACAUUAUUGCUAAAUAAACUUUGUGAAUAGUAACUUUUCACAAAAUAAACAGAGUUUUAAUAGUUUUCACUGUACUUAAAUCAGUGGUAAUAACAUUAUAUUUUGUUUUGGUAUUUAAAUUUACCUAAAUAUUUAUAGAAAUAUACUAUACUAAAUUCAAGAUGCAGUAGAAAUAAACAAGCCAAGACACGUUAAAUGCUACUAUGAGCACUCCCGAAUCAUAAUUUACAAUGUAUAUACAUUGUAAAUCCCAAAUAAUGAUUUUCAAAGUUUAUACAUUGUAAAUUAUGAUUUGGGAGUGCUCCUAAUAGUAGCAUUUAACUUGUCUUGGUUUGUUUAUUUCUACUGCAUCUUAAUUUUAAAUUUAGUGUAGAUGUGGCCAUCAUAGGACUCUUACUUAUAGAUGCAAUAAAAUUAUUGGUUUAUUUUCAUUUUAAAUGUUAUACUUCCAGUAUUGUAUGUAGUACCUAGUAUUAAAACAUAUUUAUAUUUUUAAUUAAAAAUAAAAAUAUCUUAUUUCUAUAAUGAACAACAUUAAAUUUACUUCUUGCGGGAGUAGAAAAAAGUUAUAGUAAAUAUUUUUAACUCGUUUAGCUUUUGAUGAUAUUUGCCAUAUGUUUGUGUAAGACAUGUUUAACGAGUAGUCUAAGGGCAUAUUAUUAUUAAUUAUUUAUAUGGGAAAUAAGCCACAAUUAAAAUGAAAAAAAUAAUUUUAUUAACGUUUCGACGUCCAAAUCGGGUGCCGUUGUCAAAAUACAAAAUAUUACUAGAAUAAACAAAAGUGUUGUUGCUAAGCAAAAAAAGUUACCCAUACUGAAAGAGGAAGUCAAUAGAAAGAAAAUACCAAGAUUAGUAAGUCAAUAAUAUCGAGCUAGUACAUAUUUUAUAUUUUAGUACAUAUUACUUAUAUAUCUAGUAUUAUUAAUAUAUUUAUAAUUUAAACCUGUUACAAGUCAGAAUUUGGUAUUAUUUUUUGAGAGUAAAUUAAAUGUAGGACCAAAUACUUACGAUGUCGGGAUAGUAUCACAAGGUUUUUUCCUGGUUUUCCCUUGUGAUUUACUAUGAAGUCUCUAUCGCGAGAAUUUUACUGUCAUUGCAUUUGGUUGUCUUUUUAAAGACAGAACACAUGCUAUAAUUUUUUUGUGACGGAUAUUCUUGAGUUAGGGUUGAUUUCAUGUAAUCGAAUGAACCAUCUUUCAGUAAGUCAUCCCAGGAACGCAACUCAUAAAUAUUGGCAAUAUCAUUUUAAAGUCUUCUACUUUAAAAUGUAUAAUAUAUGUAUGAAUUGCCAAUAUAAAUGAGUCAGAUUAAAUAAAUUAUUAGAAGAAUUUUUUUGCUUAGCAACAACACUUUUGUUUAUUCUAGUAAUAUUUUGUAUUUUGACAACGUGUAUAUAGAUAAGGAUAUAAACACUGAAUAGCGAUAAAGGUAUUUAUUGAUAGAACCGACACUAGGGUAAUUCUACCCCGGGAGUACUUCCGAACACUGACUAAUUACUGAUACGCGAUUAGCUAAAGACUGAUGUAGACUGAUGAAUCCCCCUUUCUCUAGGCCAGAUAUCUUGGUUUUAUAGAAGCUUAAAUUGGGUCAUUGGUGACACGAUGCCCGCGUGAUUUGUAUAUUUAAUUAAGGUAAAUAAUUCUACUUUUGUCAGCACUUUCGUGUCAUUUCCAAAUUAUAUUGUUGAUAAUUGACCAAUUUGGAUCUAAACUAAUAAUUUACGUGUGUGAAUAUAAAAACAAAUAAAUUCGUGCAAUCUACUGGGUGGUAUAAUUAUUCUGUUCAAUAUCGGAUAUGAAUUCUGAAUAUUUGUUAUUGGACACAACAGCACCCGAUUUGGGCGUCGAAACGUUAAUAAAAUUAUUUUUUUCAUUUUAAUUGUGGCUUAUUUCCCAUAUAAAUAAUUAAUCAUAAAAAUGCCACAAGGAAAUAGCUUCAGAACAGCAUAUUAUUAUACUUUGUUAUACAAAAUAUACAUAAAAUUUUGAAACUUUCAGCUUCAUUUUUUCAUUGUUUCAAUAUUAAAUCCCAAAUUUAGACUCUCCACCAUUUUCUCAUAAAAAAGUAUGUUCAGUUUUUACCCCAGGUAGACCGAAACCACCAAAAAAUUGAUGUUACUUAAGUUUUUAAGUACUAAAAAAAUGCGUUUCAUCAGAUACAAAAAAUAAAUGCAACUGAUUAUGUUCGGAUAGUGGGGUCCCUCUUACCAUUAAAGGGCGGCCCAAGGUAUAUUCAUCUUAAAUGGGUGGUUGUAGUUUUGUAUAUUUUAUUUUCAUUUUGUAUUAUUUUUAUUUUAGUUUUGUAAUAUUUUUAAGAACAAAUAAAAUAAUUAUAAUUAUUCUGAA